GUGGGCGUGUCGGAGUGGUUAUCGGGCAUGACUAGAAAUCAUGUGGGCUUUUGCUGUGUAGGUUCGAAUCCUGUCGCUUACA
rfam:Ipomoea nil DNA, scaffold: scaffold2283, cultivar: Tokyo-kokei standard.